CCUACGGGUGGCAGCAGUGAGGAAUAUUGGUCAAUGGGCGGGAGCCUGAACCAGCCAAGUCGCGUGAGGGAUGACGGCCCUAUGGGUUGUAAACCUCUUUUGCCGGGGAGCAAAGUGCCGCACGUGUGCGGUUUGGAGAGUACCCGGAGAAAAAGCAUCGGCUAACUCCGUGCCAGCAGCCGCGGUAAUACGUAGGGGGCAAGCGUUAUCCGGAUUUACUGGGUGUAAAGGGAGCGUAGACGGUUAUGUAAGUCUGGAGUGAAAGCUCGGGGCCCAACCCCGGGAGUGCUGUGGAAACUGUGUAACUGGAGGACAGGAGGGGCAGGCGGAAUUCGUGGUGUAGCGGUGAAAUGCGUAGAUAUCAGGAGGAACGCCGACGGCGAAGGCGGCCUGCUGGACUGAAACUGACGUUGAGGCUCGAAAGCGUGGGGAGCAAACAGGAUUAGAUACCCGAGUAGUC
rnacentral:rRNA from 1 species